rnacentral:lncRNA from 1 species
ACUGUCAUUGAAGGCCCAGGUCACAGUGAAGGCCUCGUCAUUUUCACGACGUCCAGAAUAGCCUGGAUAUGGGCCGCCUCCUCCCAGAAGAGGAAACCCUGACACCCAUGUGUCACAGGACCAGCGGAUCUCAUCUGUCUGGGACCCAUGCUCCACCCGGUCUUGCCGAUGAAUCUGUCUCCAACAAGUGAGAGGAGGCCGGGCACCAGCUCCACAUCACAGCACCAACUGGAAGCAACGCCAUCAAGGCUGGGAACCUGGGGGCAGGAGAUGGCUGACAAUAUCUCAAUGGGCAGCCAAGAGCACGGAGGACACAGAGCUAUCGACAAGAAGACUGAGCUGGAAAAGCCGAGGCCUGGAUACCUGGAUAGUGACGAGCAUGGAUUAAUGCUGAUUUACAUAGUGGCCCCGACCCUCCCACGCUUCACCUGAGUGCUGGAUUGCCUCAUCCCUGCCCGAGGACCCCCUGUCCUUGUCUUCUCUCCGAGGAGCUAACUGACGUCUGGAGAGA